rnacentral:lncRNA from 10 species
ACUGUGCUUACAGUCUUACAGUUCUAGCAGUCUUUCGGGGGAUACCGCCAAUGGCCCUGAAGUUGCGUUUACUUAAAGUCGCUAAAUGUACAAGAAAUAACCACUUGUCAAAAUGGCGUCAAAAGAUCAAGCAAGAAGCUUUUGCACAAGUGCUGGGCAAGGUCUUUUCCUAGCAUAUGGAAAGAGUUCUAUAAGCUCCAUAGCAGAUUUCCCGAAUAUACAUUGAGGGAGGGGAGAAGUAGGAGAAAUACAAGAAAGAAGAGCCCCCAUUCUCAGUGGGUGAGCUGCAGAAGGAACAGCAUGGUUUAUCAUAUUACUGGAAGGCCUCCAGGGUAGAUAUCAGGCAAGUUACCCCACCAACAAAUACAUAAGACACACAAGAAUGGCUUUAAAUAAAUAAGUAGAAUUGAAUCCUAAAUCAUACUUUUGCAUUCAGGAGCAACAGAUGUCAAUCAAACGUGGGUGACAUUUGCUUGUCAAUACGAGGAUGAUGGCUGGGAAGACGGUGACUUAUUACAUCAGGGUGAGAAUCUGAAAUGAGAAAAGCAGGAACAAAUAAGACUACAGCAAGCAAACAGUAACAUCCUGGGUGACGAUCAGCAGCCUGUGAUCUUGUCUGCGGGUGUCACAGCAUGGACUUCUCCUUUCCUCCCUGUGCCUCAAUCUCCCCGCCCCCCAGCCUACUCCAGUCCACCCCACCAAUUUAGUUCUUUCUUUCUUUCUUUCUUCUCUGUUUCAAAACAAAAUAAGGUCAAACGAGCAGACAGAAGGAAACAAAGACUGAAUGAUUCUUUUAAGAGAAAUGUCAGUAGCUCCUUCAGGCCUUGGCUGGGAGAAUCAACCCUAAAAGCUGUGCUGUGUGGCUCAGCGGGGUGGGGGUCUCCACCUCCUGGCUACUGAGAGAGCCACACUGCUCCUGGUAUUGGAAAAUAGGGCUUCCCACUUCUCAAGCCCUUAACUUUUAUUUUAGGGUAGUGGUUUUAUAAAUGCGCGCCUAUUGCUUGGGCAUAAUUAUACACAUAGUUCCAUAAUAUUUUUGUUCACAUGAGCUGCCUUAUUUUCAUAUUUUUAAGGAGCAAACACAUAAUAAGUUGUCUCCUGGCCAUAAUACUUACUUUCCUAACACACCUUCUGGAUUGCUUCUUAAAAGUCACCUUCCUUUUGGAGGACAAAAUGGUGAGGUUUGCUGCCAGCACUGGGGGGGUAGGAUAUUAAUAAAACUCUGAUGCACCAGAUUAUCAAAUUUCAUAAGGCCUCUCUAUUGCUAUGAAGAGUUCUGUAGGUGACACAAAAGGAGUUUUUAAAAGGUAGAGAUGUAUAGAGAAGUUCUCAUCAAAACCUCAAGCUAUGUGGAGUUUUCCCAUUGACUAACGCUUAAGAUAUAUUGGAGUCAAAUGCUCAUAAAAUGCUCAUCAAUGCUUAUAAAAUAUUAAGAGUUGAAAUGGACUCUCUGUUCAUGCAGAUGAUGAGACCGAAACAGAGAGCUUCCAGGAGGAUCAAUGCCAUUCAAUGAGCUUGCUGCUGUACUCCCCUCUACACAAUAUGGAUAUAUCCCAUCCCAGCCCGAGACUGGCCAUACUAGUUCUAGUAACUGAGGCUUUCCUCCUACUUUCUCUGACGCCAAAGCAAAUUUGAUUUUGCAAGUGAGUGCCCUCACAUUUUAAAGCUCUGCUGAGAUUUAGAAAGGCACUCAGCAGUCAUCAUUCAUCAUGAAGUCACUCCCUCCCAGGCCACGUGGCUGACCCCAGACUUUCUAUUAACUGCACAAGCCUGGGCAACACAUGGAUAUUUGGCUCUGUAGUGAAGCAAAUUUAAAUUCUUGGUCUCCUUCCUCUCCUCCAGAAGUAUCUCACUGUGCACUUUGGGGGAACCUUUUGGUUCCCCCACAAUUUUCAAGGAUGACUUGGUAGUAAACGAACUUAUGGCUGGUUACUGAGACUUUCUACUGCUUGAAUUUCCCAGAAGGUUCUCUGCAAAGUUACUCACGCUUCAGCUCUUGUUCUGACAGUUUGGAUAAACCAUCUGAUAUGGCAUAUUACUCAUCAUCUUCAUAUAUAUAAUAAUAGAAAACGUGUCAAUUAAAAAAAUAUUUGAUUUUCUUCAGUCCUCAUUAGAGAACCAAGUUUUCUCUCAUAUUCGAUAAGAAUCUUGGAAGUGGGCCCUGGACUCUCAUUUCUGCAGCAUCUCCCAACCAUCUCUCAAGAAAACACCAGGCUCCCUACUCCCAUUGCACCUGUACCUGGACCUUGUGGACCCUCCAGAAGAUGAAGUCCAAUCCAGAAAGCCGUGAUCAUGCCACUUCUAAGAUGCUAAUGAUCCUGGGAGUUUUAGCCUUUUGUUGCCUGCUGCUGCGGUGUUUGAACCAUUCCAGUAAGCCAGCAACUUUGCAGGGACAAGGACAGAGCAUGCAAAGCAUGGAGGGAAAGUAGGAGUGUUUGUACCAUGAGUCUCUGCACACCCCUCAUCUUGGCUAUAGUAGACUGGACCACAGAUGGACACUGUACCAUGCAGAUUACUUCUUCCAGGAACUUGGAUUGAGACCAAGAGACUCAUGGCAUCCUCUUCUGGCUGCAAGACUUAUAUUUUUAUAUUUAGGCAAUAGAAGAGGGGCAGCAGAUGCCUACCUUGUGGAACAGAGGAAGGCAGGCAGUUCACAGAGAAAGAGGACUAGACAGUCGGACAGAGGGGAGCAGGCUUGGGAGCUUCGUGGAGCCAAUGUCCAUCUCUGUCCUUCCUUUCCACUCGAUGCUCCUGAGUCCCUGCCUUCAACCCCCGCUUGUUUGCUUAAACUGGUUUGAGUUUGUUUCUGCUGUUUGAAAAACAACAACAACAAAACCCCAAACAAAACAAACAUCAAACAAAAACCAAAACAAAACCAUUAACUCACUCAUCCCUGUGAUUGUAUUUUGAGAAAUAAAGGUGAUUUCCUUCAGAAAACAAAGCGUAAAAACCCUGCCCUCCUCCUCUACCUCUCCGAUCGCCUAUUAAAGCCCAUUUGCUCCACGGUAAUGUAGAAGCUGUUCCCACACAUCAGCUCAUGUACAGUGUUGGACAGCAUUUCUCUGCAAUUCUUUCCAAAUCAAAGAUAGUACACCUGUGCUCCCAAAUCUACCAGGAACACUCAAUGUUUUUAAAUCUAUCUCUUUCUAAAUUGCCUCAUAAAUUCUUGCUGUUCUCAGGAUCACCUUUCUCAACUGUACCAGCUGAAAUCAACUAAGGCGGUUACCCUAACAGUUCCAAGAUGCUCAGUCGGAAAUGCUGAACGAAGAUCUUUCUGUGAAGAAGGGCGUUCAGAGUGUGCGUGUGUGUGUGUGUGUGUGUGUGUGUGUGUGUGUGUGUGUGUGUUUACAGCAACACUGUUCAAGCGGAAAAUAGGGAGGAAAAACAUCCUUGUUCAUUAAAUUCAGAUUGCAGUGAAAGAACAAAAUUGUUGGACAGAUCUUCAAGGACUUCCACCUGUCUUCAUUAGUUUCUUAUUGAUAACCAGUGAGAAGGCAGUUGCUGUAGAUCAAGUCAGAUGGUGGCUUAGACCAGGAGGUCUUGGUGGAGACAGAGGGGGCCCAAUGAGAGCAAGAAUCAGAGACAGAAAAGGAAGAAACAGGUAAUAGAUGAAGGAAUCAAACCUAGCAAUGGUAAAUUCAGUGAGGAAAAUAAGAGCUGGGGCAUUGUCCUCUGGGAGGACUGACAGGUAAACUGGGACCUGGAGAAUCUGAGGAGAGAAAAAGAUUCCAGGAUGAGGGAACACUUGGCACUUGAUUUUUAACGAGACUGGCAGGCUCUAGAAACAGAAGGAAAGUCAGUAUGGUUGGUGCAGAGUGAAGUGAACGGGAGGAGGGGUCACAGAAGGAAGGGAGCAACUCCCCAAGGUCCCUGGAGGCUCUGGUCAUUGUAGCCAGGCAAAGGGCUCUUUUUUUCCAUUUUAAAAAAAGGAAAACAUAGGAUUUUUCCCUUUUAAAAAAUGGGCUGGGCACAGUGGCUCACGCCUCUAACCCCAGUACUUGGGGAGGCUGAGGCGGGCGGAUUGCCUGAGGUCAGGAGUUCCAGACAGCAUGGCC